rnacentral:tRNA from 1 species
GUCGUUGUAGUAUAGUGGUAAGUAUUCCCGCCUGUCACCCGGGUGACUUGGGUUCGGUCCGGCAACGACG